AUAUAUAUCUCCUUUAGAAACUCCAUUUUUCUUUUGUAUACCAUUAACUACCAACAGAAGAACUAAGUUCUCUGACUUUAAGUUUUGUACGACUAGAAGAACCUUCAUCAUCACUAGACUCAUGUUUUCUAACCUUUCUCAUUCCGUUAUGAAUCAUAGGUUGAAAGAUGGUAUGAUCUGUAGGGUCUCUUGGCAUUAAAACAUUGAUUAAAAGGUGUUUGCCUCUAUUUGCUUCAGA